GUUAGCCCAUGGUUUGAACUUACAGAAGUAUUUUUACUGGGGUUCUGUCUUCUCCUGUCCCCUGCCGUACCAAGACACCUAUCUCUGUGUCUAAAGGAUCCAUGGACGGAUGCUCUCCUCAGACUUGACCCUUUUCCAGUUUGGAGGGCCUGUUGGUGAGAUGCAGGAGAGACUGGCUUGGAUGGACAAGUCUACCCUGAGUUUUGUAAUGUGGAUUGCAACGUGACUGAGGAUGAGGAAGGCUCGAGUGUAAUGAUCCCUGGCAUGCCACCCUGAUCCCUGAUGAGCAAGCUCUCCCUUCUCAUCACUACAGGCGGUCUCAAGUUUACACAGUUACGAGUCACAGGUUUGCGAUAACCUUGACUGAAAAAAGCACGUAUGGGCUUUGAACUGAGAGUCACAAAUUCUGGUUCUUGGCUUGGCUCUCAACGCCCUUUGCUGUGAUGUUGUUGUUGAAGCUCACAUAAAGUCAGGACCUUUAUGCCUGUUCUAGAUCCACCUGCUGGGACUCAAGAAACCUCUUGUAAGAAAGAAAGGAAGAAAAAGUCACGUAUAAACGGGAUAAAAAUGAAGCAAGUUUAUGUCGUAAAAUUGAGGCUUUGACCAAACCACCUCAAAGAGAGCCAACUGGAAUAUUAACUUUGCUGUGACUUGAGGGUAACCCUGGACGACCUAAUAUUAAGCAGGAGGAAGGCUUCCUGUACCCUUCCUCAAGUACCUGCGUCUCUGUUUUCCCUAAGCGUGACAUACUUGCCAUAGGUAUUGGCACCUGCAAAUGGCACUUCACCCCACCCAGUAGGAGGAAGUCCUCAAGAGUCAGAGGGGAGGCUGCCUGAGGUCUGAGGUCAUGGAGGUCCAGCCCUUCCAAGUUCUGGUGAGAGGAAACAGGAGGAAAAGAGGUCAGUUCCCUCUCCACACAGGAGCCAUGUAUUUGCUCCCAAGUCAGGAUAGGGAAGAAGGUGCAGAGAGGACAUCACUUUUGCAAAGAGCCCGCUCUCCUCCCCACAGCCCAGAGGCCUAGAAAGUUCCCUGCAUGUCUGCAGAGUGUAUCUUCUGGGUUUAGAUUUUUUUUUUUAAUUUUUAAAAGUGAUGUAUAUUUGAAGGGGGCAGUGUGUGUGAGUGAGUGUGUGUGUGUUAUGUGCACUGGAGUAUAGGUGCCUUCAGGGGCCAGAAGAGAUAAUGGGAUCCCCUGAAGCUGGAGUUACAGGUGGUUGUCAACAGUCUAAUGUGGGUGCUGGAAACAGAACUCGGUCCCUCUGUAAGAACAGUACACACUCCUAACAGCUGGGCCACCUCUCUAGCUCCCAAACAGUGUCUUUGUCCUUGAUCCACUCUCCUGUAGAAUCUGAAUACUUCACACAAGAAGAGCAAUAGACACAGACCAAAGUGCAGACCUGUGGAUGCUUCCAGAAUCAUGUAUAUUUACGGAUACUAAGAAACCUUUUCUUUUCUUUUCUUUUCUUUUCUUUUCUUUUCUUUUCUUUUCUUUUCUUUUCUUUUCUUUUCUUUCCUUUCCUUUCCUUUCCUUUCCUUUCCUUUCCUUUCCUUUCUUUUCUUUUCUUUUCUUUUCUUUUCUUUUCUUUUCUUUUCUUUUCUUUUCUUUUCUUUUCUUUUCUUUAUUUUUCCUCUCUUUAACCCUGUCUUAAAAAGUAAUGGCUAUUACAUUUGACCCAAGAUUUUGUUAAACAAAUGUGUCUAUAAACAAAUGUAUACAUAGGAUUUCAAAUAUGUUCUUAUACUUGAUUUCUAUGAUUAUAUAGCUAAUAGUAUAUUUAAGAUAAAAAUAAUUCAGUGUAUCAUCUUUAUUUCUUAAGGAAAAAAUGAGUCCUAUUUUUUAAUCUUUUUUUCCCCUAAAAGACUUGUGAAGAAAGAGAUUAAAAAAUCUACUGAGAGAUAUAAACUAGCAAAAAAUAUUAAACUAUGGGAAGCCUAGAGAUGCAGCUGACUUGUGAUACAGUUAUACGUGUAUUUGAAAACAGGAUUCUAAAUUACUUAAUAAUUUGGUUUAGUUUCCACAAACUUUUUUUUUGUGUGUGUGUAGGAAUUGAUUUGUUGCCUAUAAAUGUCCAGGCAGCAGGGUUUCUGCUCCUCCAAUACACAGUAAUAUAAAAUGUCUAAUUACGAGGAGAAGCAAAAAGCACUCAUGAAAUUACAUAUUUAGAGAUUUUAAUGACAUUUCAUAUUUGCAAAUCCAAUUCGUUAUAGUGUUUUGUUUAAGUCUGGCCUUGAGAGUUAUCAAAUGUCGAGAUGUCUAAUUUCAUUGUAAAUCAAAGUUCCUAAGAAAUUAUUUGAAAAAAGCAAAACACUUGUGGAUUGUAGUGUCCCUACAACAGAGACUGUAACUUGUCCGACGGUCAAUUUUGUGGGGGCAGACUGAGAGGAGUAAUUGUGAGAAUGCUGCCCACCUUGGAAACGGCCUCUCCCUAGACAUUUACAUAAACUCUCAUGUGGUUUCUGUCUAGCCCCCUGGAGAGCAUAUUAUUUUCCAGUUAUAGAAGAUAAAAUAGGUUCAAAGAUAGAAGGUGAAUGGCCAAGGUCAUUGAUUCCUGAAGCACCAUGCCUUCCCAUGUGAGAGAACUGGAAACCCUGAACUCUCUGGUAGGUGGCCUGAGCAGUGUCCGAGCUAAACUCAUAGAGUCAACCUAGUACCUUGCCAAGGCUGCGGAGAGGCUAGGCUGAGAGCCCUCAGACCAAAACAACCUCUGAUAUAUGAAGUACUUGUUCCUUUCAUCAUCUCCCCGUGUGCCCUCCUCUCUCUCUCUCUCUCUCUCUCUCUCUCUCUCUCUCUCUCUCUCUCUCUCUCUCUCUCUGCAUGUGUGUGCACUCUCGUGUGUGUGUGUGUGUGUGUGUGUGUGUGUGUGUGUGUGUGUGUAUGUGUGUUUAUAUAGAUAUUUUUCAGGGGGAUUGGGAAGGUGGGUGCUAUUCCUGUGAUGAUGUGAGUUACCAGACACAAGAGUCUUGAAUUAGGAAGGACGGAGGGUUUUUAUGUCAAUGAAAACCCCUUAGGGUUUCUAUACAACUUGGGGAAUUCUAUAUAUAGAAUUGAAGGAAUGAUCCACUUAGGGAAGAUAAUCUAGUUACUUUUCUAAUUUGUUACUGAAAUUUAACACAUCUUUCAGUUAUGACACCAGUAACACACUUCUGGAGUAUUUGUGGUACCCAAGAUUGUUAUCAAUUACAGUCACAGUAUUUUUAUGUUAUAUUGUUGUUGCUAUUAUAAAAUAUGGUGUGUGUCCCCUUCUCUUUUGUUGAGACAGGAUCCCAUUAUGUAGCCCUGGCUGCUGAAACUUUCUAAACAGGCCAGGCUGGCUUUGAGCUCACAGAAAUCUGUCUGUCUCUGCCUCCUGAAUGAGGGGGAUUAGAGACAUAUUUAUCAUUCUUGCUAUUGUGGUAUCAUUAACAUGCUAGUGAAAGACAAUGUUUUAAAUAUCUUUGGUGUAUGUCAUCUCAUCAGGCUUCCUUUAAAAGUCUAUGUAUUUUAAUUCAUGCAUUGAAAAGUAUUUACUCGUUUUAGACAGUGGGUAUGACAGCCAUGUAAAUCAAAAUUUCCUAGAAUACUUUAGCCCUAAAUACAUGUAUUUCAACAAGAACACGUGAAAGCACACAAAGUCCAUGUCUUCACCAUAACUAGACAACAGACAAUCCUCAAACCUCAAAUUAUGUGACCAAGGAAAUGAGUAACUACAUAUGGCUGACAGAUGUCAGGUUUCACACGAUCAAAGAGAAGAGCUGAAAAGACUCAAGGGGAGGGGAUACUGGCCUGGACCCUGUGUAACUGAAUGAGGGAGAGAGAGAAGACCGUCAACUAAUGGUUUGGAAUAUCUGUAAAUAGAUAUAUAAAUAUAUGAACAACUACUUGUACCUACCUGAUAAAGUAUAAGGAAAACCUAAGAAUGAUGAAUAGACCAAGGAACCAGAGCCCAUUUUUUUCAAUCUUAUAGUCAUUGGAGUAGUUAAUAUAAGGAUAAAAUUUGUCUGGGGGAAUAUAAAAUGAUCAUGAAGUGUCUUAUGAUACAAAGAAAAACGCGGCUAAAGAAUGCAUAACAGCCAGUUGGAAGGGUCUUACUCACUAAGUACGACACAAUUUGAGCAUCAAAGCAAAUCAUGUCAUAAUGGAUCUGUAGGUUGUUGACUAUCAUAUGAACAUAGUCAUUUUGGUUAGCGUCAAUAAGGGUCUAUAUAAGGAAAGGGAAGCCAUGCCAACUAACAAGUGUCAAAGAAGGAUGCAGUUAGGAAAUCAGUAUUAGCAGUGACAUAGUAACAAUUGUUUCAGUCAAGAAUUAUCAGUGGAUGCUAGGAUGACAGUAUAAAAUCACAAAGAUUGUCCCACAAAGAUAAUUAUUAAUUAAAAAAGAGAAUAAUAGUGAUUUCACAGUGAAGAAAUCUGAGAGAUAACUUUAAAAAAAAUGCUAGAAAUUGGUAUUCUUAGUCACGGAGGAAACCAACAUCAUGUGCUUCCUGAUAGACACACUGGAAAGGACUGAGCAGUGAGCGAUGCUCAGCUCCAGCUAAUCAUGCGUGAAAAACUACUUCCAGUUCUACAGAAUGUGUGCCCCAUGCUCUUCAAAAACACCAGUCAUAAAGGAAAAAAAAGGGCCAAAGGUGCUAAAGAGACAAGACAACGAAAUGCAACACAUGACCACAGACAUGUAAACAGCAAACAUGUUUCCUUGUCUCAAAAAUAACAUUAUUACAUAAGCUAGUGAAAUUUGGGGGAAAAAAUCUGUAAACUUGAUAAAUUUUACUUUGAAAAUUAUAUGGUGGAAAAUGAUACUUUUUUGAUAAUUUAUAUUGAAGUAUUUAAAGAUUAUGGGGCAUGAUAUCUUUAACUUGCUUUCAAACCAUCCAAGCUGGGCAUCGGGGUACAGGUCUUUAAUGUCAACACUCAGGAGUCAGACACAGGCAGCUCUAUGUGAGUUUGAGGCCAGCCUGGUGUACAUAGCGAAUUCCAGGCCAGCCAAGGCUACAUAGUAAGAUUCUGUCUCAAAAACAAACCAAACGGUAACAAAUGAUCAAAAAUUCAAUACACAACAAAAUGCAAGUUUAGAAAAUAAUAUAUGUAUAUAUAAACAAAAACUCAUAUGUAUAUAUAAAAAAGAAUGAGAGUAAAAUGUGGUAAGAUGCUAAUGUUUAGAGCCUCUAGAUCAUACCAUUCUUUUGACUUUUUUUAAGUGUGAAAUCAUGCCCACAGAUUCAACCGACUGCAGGUUUGAGUAGUUUUGUAAACUGAAUCUCCACUGACCACACACAGACCUUUUCAUUGUUCUUCUCUCCUGAACAACAGUGUUACUAUGUAUACAGCAUUCAUACUAGGCAUUACAAAUGAUCUAGAAGCAAUUUAAUGUACGCCCAAAGGUGCCACACAGGUCAUAUGCUUGAACUGUGCCAUUUUAUACAUUAGCAAUCCGCAGGUUCGGAAGCCCGUGCGUAAGAGGGCUGUAGAGUCACCACGUGUGAGAGGGUCCUGGAGUCAGGACCCCCUAUGUGAAUGACUGUAUCUCAAAAAAAUACAAAGUAAAAAUUGGGGAAAGAAAAAUGAAACCUCCCACCCCAAGGACUUUAUUGGAACGGCUUUGGGCUCUACAGACAAAACAUAAUGACAGAGUUUUGUAGUGACCUGGGCUGCCUGUCUUCUGCCCUCUAGAAAAUCCUGUCCUUACAACCACUGGAGGAAACAAAAAACUCAAAGCUAAGCAGCUCUCUCUCUCUCUCUCUCUCUCUCUCUCUCUCCCUCCCUCCCUCCCCCCCUCUCUCAGUUCUCUCUCUCUCUGCCUCAUCUUUUCCACUUCCCAUGUAACCUCCUCUCUAAACAAACAGUUUUCCCUGGUGAUAAGGAACAGAGAGGGACUUUUUAGUCAUUCAGGAUGCACCCUCUAUACUGUCAUUGAGCACCCCUCAGGGCUGACGGUCAUCUCCAAGACUGGUGUCCCAAAGGACAUGUAACCCUGACCUUGAGUAUCAUUGAUUUGUGAGGCCCACCUUUACUAUUGUCUGUAAAUGUUAGUCUUUCUUUUAGUCUCUGCAUUCUGUAUUCUUCUAGGUCACUGGACUAGGCCAGCUGCAAACCAACAUGGAUCUUUGACCCCUAGUAGAACAACAAUCCCAGGUCAGGGCUUUCAGGGCCAUGACCUGCAUGACCUGCAUAGAGAAAGGGACAGCCAGUCAGCUCACCUGAGAAGUAAAUGAAUAACCACAGCUAGCACAACUGCCCCAACCACUCUUCCAUGAACUGUGGUCACAUCUCUGCAGUUCCCGGGUGCCAGGUGACUUAUCAGUAGGCCUUUGACCUCGGUUGCUUUAGUUGUUUAUCAGCUGUGUGUUUCAAUUUAUCUCACACCAACCUGUUUGCUAAAGAGUGCCCAUUCCUUGGCUCCAAGCACUAAAGCUGUUUUGGGGAGUACAUCCCUCAGAAAACUCAGAGUACUUUAUGCAUCCUCUCUGAGCCUUGCCCAGUGGCAGCUCAGGGCUAGGAUGUUUUCAUUAGAGAGCACCUAUCGAAACAACAUGGCUUAAUAUGUUGCACCUUCCCUGCUGAAAGGGCUGCUCUGUCUAUUUCUUGGAUGUAAGCAAAGGCUUUCCAAUUACAGCCCUUUUGAUAUUUUGAAUUCCAUAAUUAAUAAGGUGAAGUCUGGCUAGUGUAUGGCAUGCUCAGCAGGAUCCUUGACUUCUACACAUGACAUGUCAGUAACACUUCUGAUAACGAUGUCACCAGACAGUGCUAAGUGUCCCUUAGGGGACAAAAUUGCUCCUCCUUGAGAACUGCUGUCAUAGAGAUUCCUUUCUUGAGGGUCCAGAAUGUCACUGUACCCAGGACCACUUGUUUGGAAACUCAGUCAUUACUGUUGUAGUGAUGUUUCCUUGAUGGGCGGUUAUAUUCGUUAAUGACACUAACAGAGAGGUUUUGCUGCUUAAAAAACUGCUCAUAUCCUGUUUUGGCAAGCACUAACUUUUGUAAUGUAAAAAAUAUCUACUUUUCUUAUUAUGAGGAUAGAAGGUAUCCAACAAACCGAGUUAUAUAUAAUGACAUUUAUGGAUUUAGAAAUGACCACAUUGGCAAGCACAGCAUUGAGUGCUACUAAGGCCUGGAUCCUGGCUGAGCUGGGGCUAUGACAGCUCGCACUUGGUAGAAAAUCGAGCCUCUAGGAUUCUGCAAAUGCUCCCAGGAACCCCAUAGUCCUCAGAUUUCCGGUUCAUAAAGUCAGGUGCCAAUGUGAACAGCAGCUGUGGUUGACUGGAUGCCACAGCCUUUUGAACUGUGGCUAUAGGGUCAGGUAGCUGAAUGUGGGAUUAAAAAAAAAGCAACAGUGAGAGGUUAUUGAAUGAACAAUAAUUAAAAAUUAUUUCAAAACCAAAGAUAAUGGAUCCAAGGUUUGGGUAGGACUUGUCCUUCUUGUGUUGAAUGGUUUCCCCGUUAGCCAAGGUUCUGAGCACACAGCACACACACUUUGCCUAGACCACCUUGGCUCAUAGUGGUGACUCUUGUAUGUGAAGAUCUUGUAUGUGAAAUAUUUUCAGCAUAUGUAGGAUAGGAAUUUUUUUUUCUUUUUAGAAUGUAAUAAAUUACGGGAAGGAAGGGCUUAAUAUUUUCUUAGUUAUUCUUCCUCAUGGAAGUACCACACUGGGAUGUCUUUGGAUUGGAUUGUGAUGGAGCAUUUGAUUAUAAAAGUUACUUUUGGAGGGGACAGAGAGAAGGCUCAGUGGUUAGGAGCUCUUGCCACUCCUGUAGAGCACAUGGGGUUGGUUCCCAGCACCCACAUAGUGGUCCUCUCCUUCCAGAUGAUCUGGCACCUUCUGUCUUCCAAAGAAGUUUAUGUAUACAUUCAGGGAAAACACUUAUACACAUAAAAAUAAAAUAAGCAAAUCCUUAAUUAAAAAAAAAAACCUGCUGUUUGAGUUGUUGAGCUUCAUUUAAAAAAAUCAUCAAAUGAAUUUCAGGCUUAGAAUUAGGAGAAAAUUUUCAACAAUUUUGAAAUUGCCUUAAGCAAAUUUCUGCCAUUUUGCCCCAUAUAUUCAUGCCAGUGAUAUUCUCAGUAUUAACAAUCAAAAUGUCAGUCAACUCGGAAAAAUGUUGAAGAUGAUGUAGCCUGUAGUAUCAAAUAUUUAGCUAAGGUUUAGCUCUUUAUUUUUAAAUAACCAAGCACAUCUUUCAUCAGUAUGCAAAUUUGUUUUCAUUGUCAAUACUUGAUAAAAUUAUGUGUAUCCAAGAGAAUUGUUUCAAAAUAAAUUUCUUUAUGACUUGUCAGUAAA